AAUAGAUAUCCUGGUAGUCCACACCGUAAACGAUGAGUGCUAAGUGUUAGAGGGUUUCCGCCCUUUAGUGCUGCAGCUAACGCAUUAAGCACUCCGCCUGGGGAGUACGGUCGCAAGACUGAAACUCAAAGGAAUUGACGGGGGCCCGCACAAGCGGUGGAGCAUGUGGUUUAAUUCGAAGCAACGCGAAGAACCUUACCAGGUCUUGACAUCCUCUGACAACUCUAGAGAUAGAGCGUUCCCCUUCGGGGGACAGAGUGACAGGUGGUGCAUGGUUGUCGUCAGCUCGUGUCGUGAGAUGUUGGGUUAAGUCCCGCAACGAGCGCAACCCUUGAUCUUAGUUGCCAGCAUUUAGUUGGGCACUCUAAGGUGACUGCCGGUGACAAACCGGAGGAAGGUGGGGAUGACGUCAAAUCAUCAUGCCCCUUAUGACCUGGGCUACACACGUGCUACAAUGGAUGGUACAAAGGGCUGCAAGACCGCGAGGUCAAGCCAAUCCCAUAAAACCAUUCUCAGUUCGGAUUGGU
rnacentral:rRNA from 1 species